UGCAUCGGCCGGGAAUCGAACUAUCGCCUGCGUGGCAGGCGAGCAUUCUACCAUUGAACCACCGAUGG
rnacentral:tRNA from 1 species